GACGACCGCUGGCGGCGUGCUUAACACAUGCAAGUCGAGCGGCGCGGCGAACGGGUGAGUAACGCGUGAGUAACUGCCCCCCUCUCUGGGAUACCAGUUGGAAACGGCUGCUAAUACCGGAUAGUGGGGGAUGACUCGCGUCCUAUCAGCUUGUUGGUGGGGUAGUGGCCUACCAAGGCGACGCCGGGUAGACAGACUGCGAGGGCGACCGGCCACAUUGGGCUGAGACACCGCCCAAAGUCAUACGGGAGGCAGCGGUGGGGAAUAUUGCACAAUGCGGGAAACCCUGAUGCAGCAACGACGCGUGCGGGAUGACGGCCUCCGGGUUGUAAACCGCUUUCAGCCAUAACGCGGUAGUGGCAGAAGAAGAACCGGCUAACUACGUGCCAGCAGCCGCGGUAAUUC
rnacentral:rRNA from 1 species